GAAAUCUACAUGCAACAGCCUGAUGGCUUUGUGAUAGAUGGUCAGGAAAGAAAGGUGUGUAGGUUGAUAAAAUCUUUAUAUGGCCUGAAACAAGCACCUAAGCAAUGGCAUGAUAAGUUUAAUACAACUCUGACAUCUGUUGGUUUCGUUGUUAAUGAGGCUGACAAAUGUGUAUACUAUCGCCAUGGUGGGGGCGAAGGAGUUAUACUGUGCUUGUAUGUUGAUGACAUACUGAUAUUCGGAACAAACCUCAAAGUCAUUGAGGAGGUCAAAUCGUUUCUAUCUCAGAACUUUGAGAUGAAAGACCUUGGUGUGGCUGAUGUUAUCUUGAACAUCAAGCUACUGAGAGAUAAUGAGGGUGGGAUCACACUUCUGCAAUCCCAUUACGUUGAGAAGGUGUUGAGUCGUUUUGGAUAUUCGGACUGCACACCAUCUCAAACACCAUAUGAUCCUAGCGUAUUGAUUCGAAAGUCCAAAGGCAUGGCUAAAGAUCAAUUGAGAUACUCUCAAAUCAUUGGUUCACUGAUGUACCUAGCGAGCGCAACGAGGCCUGACAUCGCGUUUGCUGUGAGCAAACUGAGCCGGUUUGUUUCCAAACCGGGUGAUGUACAUUGGCAUGCCGUUGAGAGAGUUAUGCGCUAUCUGAAAGGUACUAUGAACUAUGGACUUCACUAUACCGGAUACCCGUCGGUACUUGAAGGGUAUAGUGAUGCGAAUUGGAUCUCUGAUGCUGAUGAGAUGAAGGCCACAACUGGGUAUAUGUUUACUCUUGGAGGUGGCGCUGUUUCCUGG
rnacentral:rRNA from 1 species